AAAUUCAAACAUAAAAUAUAUACAAUUAAGGUUGAAAAACGAGAAAAAAUUGUCGUAAAUUUUUUAUUUGUUGAUGGCUGCUACUAAAAUAAUUGAUGCACCUCGAAAUGGCCAUGAAAUGGCGCCACUGAAUACACGCGCCCGCGGCGAUGGCACCCAUGGAGUUACAAUUGUGCUCACUGCACCUCAACGCAAUUCUGUCAGUUCAGUCGACAUACCCGGCGAACCAGAGCGAGCAGCAUGGUCUGGCAAGAUGCAAUUUUUCCUCAGUAUUAUUGGCUACUCAGUGGGGUUGGGAAACAUUUGGCGUUUUCCCUACUUAUGUCAACAGAACGGGGGCGGUGCCUUCCUGAUACCAUUCAUGGUUAUGUUAGUGCUGGAAGGUAUUCCGCUCUUCCUCAUUGAGCUGGGCAUGGGUCAGCGCAUGCGUUUGGGUGCGCUUGGUGUUUGGAAUACCAUACAUCCCUGGUUGGGUGGAAUUGGCAUAUCAUCCUGCAUAGUAACAUUAUUCGUUGCACUCUACUACAACGUCAUCAUAACGUGGGUCUUUUACUAUUUAUUUAACAGUUUUCGGUAUCCCUUACCAUGGGCUUCGUGUCCUACAAAUGGCAGCGCGGUGGUAGAAGAAUGUGCGCGUUCAUCAGAAACAGCUUAUUUUUGGUAUCGCACUACUCUAGACGCAGCUCCUUCUAUGGAUGAGUCAGGCGGUCUAAAAUGGUGGAUAGUGUUAUGUUUGCUGCUCUCAUGGACCGUGGUCUUCUUUAUUGUUAUGAAGGGUAUACAAAGUUCCGGCAAAGUGGUUUACUUUACUUCACUUUUUCCAUAUAUUGUGCUGACAAUUUUCUUCAUACGCGGUAUAACUCUGCGUGGAGCUAGUGCCGGUUUAAUGCACAUGUACACACCUAAAGUAGAAAAGUUAGCAGAUCCAACGGUGUGGCUUGACGCGGCUACACAAGUCUUCUAUUCCUUCGGACUAGCGUUUGGUUCACUUAUUGCGUUCGGAAGCUACAACACUCCUAAAAACAAUUGCGUCCGCGAUGUUUUGCUGGUCUCAGUUUGCAAUGCUGUGACGGCGAUCUAUGCGAGUGUUGUUAUCUUCGCUAUUCUCGGAUUUAAGGCCACUGUAAAUGUGGAUCGCUGCAUAGACCUCAAUAAGGAAAUUUUGGUAAAACAUAAGCUUUUACCAUUCACCAACGCUACAAUGUCGGAGUAUGAGAAUGUGAUGAAAACACUUAACGGUAAUGAAACGAAGACUUUGGAAUUGGAGGAGUGCAGUCUUUCGCAGCAAUUAGAUAACGCUGCUGAAGGUACUGGUCUUGCCUUUAUUGUUUUCACCCAGGCCAUUGUCGAACUGCCGGGAGCACCGUUCUGGGCGGUGCUUUUCUUUACUAUGCUGCUAUCGCUAGGAUUGGGUUCGCAAAUUGGCAUCCUGGAGGGCAUGUUGUGCACACUGUUCGACAUAGACAUUAUAAAGCGGGUUAAGAAACAACAUGUGACUGGUGUGGUAUGUCUGUUCUGCUUUAUUGUCGGUUUAAUCUUCUGUACAGGUGCAGGCGAAUACUGGUUGAAAAUGUUUGACUCUUUUGCUGGUACCAUUGGCUUGGUAGUGGUGGCUUUAAUGGAGAUGAUAGCCGUUGUUUACAUAUAUGGACAUGAGAGGUUUACGGAGGAUAUUUACCAAAUGACUGGCUAUCGACCGGGCAUAUAUUGGCAGCUUACUUGGCGUUAUAUUGGGCCUGUUAUAAUGGUUGCUAUAUUGGCUUCAUCUGUAGUGUUUAUGAUAAUUAAGAAUCCAACUUACAGUGCUUGGAAUGCCGAAUUGGGUCAAGUGGUACAAACAAGCUAUCCAACUUGGAUUAUGGGCAUUGCCUUGGCCAUGAUAUUAGCGGGUAUAUUACCGAUGCCAAUUGUGUUCCUUAUGCGCAGUUUCCAAUGCCUGAAGGUUGAUUUGGAUAUACACCAGGGCUCAAUACGGAGAAACGAAACAACAGCAUCGACGAAGGAAAUGAUCAACAAUGACGAUGAUGAUGUCAUGAGUCCGGACAUGCCACCUCAAGAUUCAUUAGCGGCGACACGCUUUACUAUUGGAGAUUUCGAAAACUAAUUUAUUUUAAACGUAUACAACUCAAAUCACAAAGGAUAAUAAUAUAUGGAUUCUCAACUCAGAAAAGGCUUUAAAAUUCAAUAAGAAAAGUCAAAAAAAUAUUCUGGAAAACACAAAUCAAAAACAUAACUCAAGCCUUUAAAAGGUAAAAAUAUAAAGAUUAGCUUUAGCGAUUAGUUACAAGGAAUACGCAUCGAUAUUAAUAUUAUAAACGUCAUUAACUUAAUCGACUCCAUUGAAAUCGUUCAUCUGACAUUGUCCAUAAAAACGAGUGCAUCCAAUGAAAAAACCACUAAACACAUUUUCGAAAAGAUUUUAAAAGCAAUCUUAUUCGCGCCUUCUAUGAGAAAAGGAUAAACUAGUACUUAACGUUACUUUACACUUUAUAUGCAACAGAAACUUUUAACAAUUAUAGAUAUACAAAUAAGGAUAUAAGUACAACGUCGUUUCUCUAAUCUUAAGUCUAAUUUAAACGGCAACAAUCUCGCAUACUGAUAGCUAAAUUAAGCAAAUCGUUUACAAAACAAAAACUUGAAUUGCAAUUAAAUUUAACACAAGCAAUUAUAUAAUUAUUAAAUUAAAAAAAAAUUAAUAUUGAACUAAGCUAAGUUUAAAGCCCAGAAGGAUAGCUCAAGUUUCGAUAAUUAUAAGCUAAGUAAGUUUUGAUUGGAUUGGAUUUAUUCUACUUGAUGUAGCUCCGGUUAGCAGUUAUAUUACCCAUGUAUUAAUAAUUAGUUCUUAUAACUCAAAAAUGAUUUGAAUGUACAAUAAUUUAUCGUGUGGUGUGGAAUUAGUUUUGCUGGCUUUUAUUAAAAUUUAUAUUAACAUCAAACAGUUUUGGUUAAAAGCAAAGCACGAAAGGCGUACUGCUAAAAGUAUGAUGAUGACUUCAGUGGCCCAGCAUUGGGUGGACAUGUCAAAACCAAUAGCGACUAUUCGGACGAGGAUGAUGAUGAGGAU